rnacentral:rRNA from 1 species
GACGAACGCUGGCGGCGUGCUUCAUACAUGCAAGUCGAACGGCAGCACGGGUGCUUGCACCUGGUGGCGAGUGGCGAACGGGUGAGUAACAUAUCGGAACGUAUCCAAUAAUGGGGGAUAACUAAUCGAAAGGUUGGCUAAUACCGCAUACGCCCUACGGGGGAAAGCUAGGGACCUUCGGGCCUGGCGUUAAUGGAGCGGCUGAUAUCUGAUUAGCUCGUUGGUGGGGUAAUGGCCUAGCAAGGCGACGAUCAGUAGCUGGUCUGAGAGGACGCACAGCCACACUGGAACGGAGACACGGCCCAGACUCCUACGGGAGGCAGCAGGGGGGAAUUUUGGACAAUGGGCGCAAGCCUGAUCCAGCCAUUCCGCGUGAGUGAAGAAGGCCUUCGGGUUGUAAAGCUCUUUCGCAAGGGAAGAAAACAUAUCCUCUAACAUAGGAUGAGGUUGACGGUACCUUGAUAAGAAGCACCGGCUAACUACGUGCCAGCCGCCGCGGUAACAC